GACCGGUGGAGGAGGUGAAGAGUAGACAUAGUGUGGUGGGGGUGGUGAGUAAAUAGGUGGAGGAGGAGAUUUAUAUUUGUAAACUGGUGGUGGUGAAUAAAUCGGUGGAGGAGGAGAUUUAUAUUUGUAAAUUGGUGGUGAAUAGACAGGUGGAGGAGGAGACUUAUAUUUGUAAACGGGUGGUGGUGAAUAAACCGGUGGAGGAGGAGACUUAUAUUUGUAAACGGGUGGUGGUGAAUAAACCGGUGGAGGAGGAGAUUUAUAUUUGUAAAUUGGUGGUGAAUAGACAGGUGGAGGAGGAGACUUAUAUUUAUAAAUUGGUGUUGGAGGAGGAGAUAUAUAUUUGUAAGGAGGAGGAGGUGAGUUGUACUUGUAAACAGGUGGUGGUGGUGAUGGAUAUUUGUAUGGAGGAGGCGGUGGAGAUGGAUACUUAUAUGGUGGAGGAGGUGAAUUGUAUACCGGUGGAGGUGGUGACUUGUACUUGUAAACUGGUGGUGGAGGAGAAGGAUAUUUGUAUGGCUUCUCUGACGGUGGUGGUGGUGAACUGUAAUGAUAAGGUGGAGGAGGUGAGUGCACCGGUGGUGGUGGAGAUGAAUAGAUGUAGUUGUUUGCUUGAGAUGGCAAAGUGAGAGAAAGUAAUGUGAAUGCAAUAGUGAGAGUAAUAGAGGCCAUUUGAGACCCCAUGUUUUCUCAAAGUAGAUUUUGUUGUUGC